rnacentral:lncRNA from 1 species
CCGGGGUGGACGGAAUCCUCCUUUCGACUGUUCUAUGGAUGUGACCUUCAGUCCCGGGUAAGGGAGCCCAGGCUCUCGAAGGGGAACCUGCCAGUCUCCGCCAGACCGAGUCUUGUAACCAAGCAGGAAGCGGGCCCGGCGAGAGGUUGAGAAUUCGUCUGAGAACUUUGCGCCAACCGUCGCUGCCGCCUGAAAGGCCAGACCUUGACUUUAGGAGUGCUGGCAGCUGGGUUGGGCACUCCAGCCGUUCCAAGGAAGGAUAGACUGUGACUUCAGAGGUAAUUUCCACAUCCUGCUAUGUGUUUUCAGGGUCCAGGCAGCCCGAGGAAACAAAGGGAAGAGGGAAGGACGAUGGAUGUGAACACGUUCCCAGGCGCGUGGCCUCAGCUCCGAAGUGGGUCAAGGAGGGGCCACCCCCUGGCAUCCCCUGCAAAGGGGUACGUCCCCUUCACUGUUAGCGUCAGCCACAGACUUGCCGGCCCUACACACAAGGCCAGAAAUGAUCACUUUGGCUCCUGGCCAUUAAAAGUAUUUUGUGUCUGUUUAACAUUUCAGAAGAGAUUUAGAAUCAACUAGGGUGGGAAACUAGGUAAGAGAGAGAAACCUUUUGCUUUCUGUGUGAACACCCAAAUACGAAGAUAUGGUUUGUACUGGGUGCAAGUGCCCAACUCCAAGGGCCAAAUUAAAUUCAGAAUAAAAUUCUUGGGUGUUGAAAGUCUACGCAAUCAGUACUGAACAUUGAGGAUGCAAAGGUGAAUUGGACAAUGACUUUUUUUACAGGAAGUUUGCAGUUUGUAAGGAGAAAAGACAGGACCAGAACACAACUUGUGGAGAGAGCAAGAAUAUAGUUUUGGCGUGUUUCAAGAAGAGUGAAUGCAAUAAGUAAUCUGCUUCGACAAGAAAAUAGUGCUCCUGUAGAAGGGUAUGGUGAAGAGAUAAACCCAAAGGAUGUGGUUAAAGACAUUAUGAAAGGCCUUAAGUGCUCAGCUAGUUUUGAGCAUAAUUUUUGAACAGAGGAGGAACCUUGGGAAAUAUGAAUUUGAGGUGUCAGAGAGGUAACCAUCCGCAGAGGAAAAAUUAUUACCUGUCAUGAUACACAAAAAAUAAACUCCAUAUAGAUAAGAAUGUGAAUGUGAAAAGCAAAAUAUACUUCGAUAAGAAAAUAUAGGAGCAUAUGUUCAUGACUUUGAUGGUCAGAAGGAUUUUAUAAACCAUAAAAGAAUGCAAAUGUUAAUGGAGCAAAAUAAUAGAUUUGACAAUGCUAUAAUUUUGAAACUUUUAUGUGACUUUAAGAAAGUUAAAGGGGCG